rnacentral:rRNA from 1 species
GACGAACGCUGGCGGCGUGCUUAACACAUGCAAGUCGAACGGAAAGGCCCUGCUUUUGUGGGGUGCUCGAGUGGCGAACGGGUGAGUAACACGUGAGUAACCUGCCCUUGACUUUGGGAUAACUUCAGGAAACUGGGGCUAAUACCGGAUAGGAGCUCCUGCUGCAUGGUGGGGGUUGGAAAGUUUCGGCGGUUGGGGAUGGACUCGCGGCUUAUCAGCUUGUUGGUGGGGUAGUGGCUUACCAAGGCUUUGACGGGUAGCCGGCCUGAGAGGGUGAACGGCCACAUUGGGACUGAGAGACGGACCAGACUCCUACGGGAGGCAGCAGUGGGGAAUAUUGCACAAUGGGCGGAAGCCUGAUGCAGCAACGCCGCGUGCGGGAUGACGGCCUUCGGGUUGUAAACCGCUUUCGCCUGUGACGAAGCGUGAGUGACGGUAAUGGGUAAAGAAGCACCGGCUAACUACGUG